AGAUAUUACAGGGUUUUAGUAGUUAUUGAGAUAUUACAGGUCAGGGUUUUAGUAGUUAUUGAGAUAUUACAGGUUUUAGUAGUUAUUGAGAUAUUACAGGUUUUAGUAGUUAUUGAGAUAUUACAGGGUUUUAGUGGUUAUUGAGAUAUUACAGGUCAGGGUUUUAGUAGUUAUUGAGAUAUUACAGGUCAGGGUUUUAGUAGUUAUUGAGAUAUUACAGGGUUUUAGUAGAAAUUGAGAUAUUACAGGGUUUUAGUAGUUAUUCAGAUAUUACAGGGUUUAAGUAGUUCUUGAGAUAUUACAGGGUUUUAGUAGUUAUUGAGAUAUUACAGGUUUUAGGAGUUAUUGAGAUAUUACAGGGUUUUAGUAGUUAUUGAGAUAUUACAGGUCAGGGUUUUAGUAGUUAUUGAGAUAUUACAGGUCAGGGUUUUAGUAGUUAUUGAGAUAUUACA
rnacentral:lncRNA from 1 species